rnacentral:rRNA from 1 species
GACGAACGCUGGCGGCGUGCUUAACACAUGCAAGUCGAGCGGUAAGGCCCUUUCGGGGGUACGACGAGCGGCGAACGGGUGAGUAACACGUGGGUGACCUGCCCUCAGCUCUGGGAUAAGCCUGGGAAACUGGGUCUAAUACUGGAUAUGACUCCACGGUGCAUGUCGUGGGGUGGAAAGCCUUGUGCGGCUGAGGAUGGG